rnacentral:rRNA from 1 species
UACAGAGGAGCCAAGCGUUGUCCGGAUUGACUGGGCGUAAAGCGCACGCAGGCGGAUGCGCGCGUGGGUUGUGAAAUCUGGCCGCUUAACGGCCAGGCGCCAUCCCAUACGGCGCGUCUGGAGUGAUGCAGAGGUCGAUGGAAUUGCCGGUGUAGUGGUGAAAUGCGUAGAGAUCGGCAGGAGCACCCAGGGGGAAACCAGUCGACUGGGCAUCUACUGACGCUGAGGUGCGAGAGCGUGGGGAGCGAACCGG